AUGUGUUCCCAGGAGCUCGAGACCAUCGACCACCUCCUUGUGGGCUGCGCCUUCUCACGGAUAACCUGGCACGAAAUCCUCUCUUGAUGCCGAUUGGUAACACCGCCCAUGCUCAACUUCACCACUUUCUUCGACUGGUGGUGUCAGGCCACGGCGGCCUCUCCGGAUAGCCUUAUGAGAGGCCUCAACUCCAUCAUUGCCAUCACCGCUUGGGCCAUCUGGAAGCACAGGAACGCGGCCAUCUUUGAUGGCGCCCGACCCUCCAUCGACGACCUUUUGCAGCCGGUCAAGGAAGAAGCGUGCAUAUGGGUAGCGGCCGGUGCUAGAGGUUUAGGAAGAAUUAUACCUGUAACCUGA
rnacentral:rRNA from 1 species